rnacentral:rRNA from 1 species
CAGUCGCCACGGUAAUACGAAGGGGGCUAGCGUUGCUCGGAAUUACUGGGCGUAAAGGGCGCGUAGGCGGACAGUUAAGUCAGAGGUGAAAGCCCAGGGCUCAACCUUGGAACUGCCCUUGAUACUGGCUGUCUAGAGUGCGGGAGAGGUGUGUGGAACUCCGAGUGUAGAGGUGAAAUUCGUAGAUAUUCGGAAGAACACCAGUGGCGAAGGCGACACACUGGCCCGUAACUGACGCUGAGGCGCGAAAGCGUGGGGAGCAAACAGGAUUAGAUACCCCGGUAGUCCCUGUCUCUUAUAC